rnacentral:rRNA from 1 species
UACGUAGGGCGCAAGCGUUAUCCGGAAUUAUUGGGCGUAAAGAGCUCGUAGGCGGUUUGUCGCGUCUGCCGUGAAAGUCCGGGGCUCAACUCCGGAUCUGCGGUGGGUACGGGCAGACUAGAGUGAUGUAGGGGAGACUGGAAUUCCUGGUGUAGCGGUGAAAUGCGCAGAUAUCGGGAGGAACACCUGUGGCGAAAGCGGCGCACUGGACCAUAACUGACGCUGAUGCGCGAAAGCUGGGGGAGCAAACAGG